rnacentral:rRNA from 1 species
GAUGAACGCUGGCGGCGUGCCUAAUACAUGCAAGUCGAGCGAACAGACGAGGAGCUUGCUCCUCUGACGUUAGCGGCGGAUGGGUGAGUAACACGUGGAUAACCUACCUAUAAGACUGGGAUAACUUCGGGAAACCGGAGCUAAUACCGGAUAAUAUAUUGAACCGCAUGGUUCAAUAGUGAAAGACGGUUUUGCUGUCACUUAUAGAUGGAUCCGCGCCGCAUUAGCUAGUUGGUAAGGUAACGGCUUACCAAGGCAACGAUGCGUAGCCGACCUGAGAGGGUGAUCGGCCACACUGGAACUGAGACACGGUCCAGACUCCUACGGGAGGCAGCAGUAGGGAAUCUUCCGCAAUGGGCGAAAGCCUGACGGAGCAACGCCGCGUGAGUGAUGAAGGUCUUCGGAUCGUAAAACUCUGUUAUUAGGGAAGAACAAAUGUGUAAGUAACUAUGCACGUCUUGACGGUACCUAAGCAGAAAGCCACGGCUAACUACGU